rnacentral:tRNA from 1 species
GCCCGGAUGGUGGAAUAGGUAGACACAAGGGACUUAAAAUCCCUCGGCUUGGCGGCCGUGCCGGUUCGACCCCGGCUCCGGGCACCA